GACGAACGCCGGCGGCGUGCUUAACACAUGCAAGUCGAACGGAAAGGCCCUGCUUUUGUGGGGUGCUCGAGUGGCGAACGGGUGAGUAACACGUGAGUAACCUGCCCUUGACUUUGGGAUAACUUCAGGAAACUGGGGCUAAUACCGGAUAGGAGCUCCUGCUGCAUGGUGGGGGUUGGAAAGUUUCGGCGGUUGGGGAUGGACUCGCGGCUUAUCAGCUUGUUGGUGGGGUAGUGGCUUACCAAGGCUUUGACGGGUAGCCGGCCUGAGAGGGUGACCGGCCACAUUGGGACUGAGAUACGGCCCAGACUCCUACGGGAGGCAGCAGUGGGGAAUAUUGCACAAUGGGCGGAAGCCUGAUGCAGCAACGCCGCGUGCGGGAUGACGGCCUUCGGGUUGUAAACCGCUUUCGCCUGUGACGAAGCGUGAGUGACGGUAAUGGGUAAAGAAGCACCGGCUAACUACGUGCCAGCAGCCGCGGUGAUACGUAGGGUGCGAGCGUUGUCCGGAUUUAUUGGGCGUAAAGGGCUCGUAGGUGGUUGAUCGCGUCGGAAGUGUAAUCUUGGGGCUUAACCCUGAGCGUGCUUUCGAUACGGGUUGACUUGAGGAAGGUAGGGGAGAAUGGAAUCCCUGGUGGAGCGGUGGAAUGCGCAGAUAUCAGGAGGAACACCAGUGGCGAAGGCGGUUCUCUGGGCCUUUCCUGACGCUGAGGAGCGAAAGCGUGGGGAGCGAACAGGCUUAGAUACCCUGGUAGUCCACGCUGUAAACGGUGGGUACUAGGUGUGGGGUCCAUUCCACGGGUUCCGUGCCGUAGCUAACGCUUUAAGUACCCCGCCUGGGGAGUACGGCCGCAAGGCUAAAACUCAAAGGAAUUGACGGGGCCCCGCACAAGCGGCGGAGCAUGCGGAUUAAUUCGAUGCAACGCGUAGAACCUUACCUGGGUUUGACAUGGAUCGGGAGUGCUCAGAGAUGGGUGUGCCUCUUUUGGGGUCGGUUCACAGGUGGUGCAUGGCUGUCGUCAGCUCGUGUCGUGAGAUGUUGGGUUAAGUCCCGCAACGAGCGCAACCCCUGUUCACUGUUGCCAGCACGUUAUGGUGGGGACUCAGUGGAGACCGCCGGGGUCAACUCGGAGGAAGGUGGGGAUGACGUCAAGUCAUCAUGCCCCUUAUGUCCAGGGCUUCACGCAUGCUACAAUGGCUGGUACAGAGAGUGGCGAGCCUGUGAGGGUGAGCGAAUCUCGGAAAGCCGGUCUCAGUUCGGAUUGGGGUCUGCAACUCGACCUCAUGAAGUCGGAGUCGCUAGUAAUCGCAGAUCAGCAACGCUGCGGUGAAUACGUUCCCGGGGCU
rnacentral:rRNA from 1 species